CGACCGGCGCACGGGUGCGUAACGCGUAUGCAACCUACCUUUAACAGGGGGAUAACACUGAGAAAUUGGUACUAAUACCCCAUAAUAUCAUAGAAGGCAUCUUUUAUGGUUGAAAAUUCCGAUGGUUAGAGAUGGGCAUGCGUUGUACUAGCUAGUUGGUGGGGUAACGGCUCACCAAGGCGACGAUACAUAGGGGGACUGAGAGGUUAACCCCCCACACUGGUACUGAGACACGGACCAG
rnacentral:rRNA from 1 species